GUCUUUUAGAUGACGAAGUGGUUGAUGCCAUGCUUCCAAGAAAAGCUUCUAAGCUUCAGGUAACCAGGAACCGUACCCCAAACCGACACAGGUGGUCGGGUAGAGAAUACCAAGGCGCUUGAGAGAACUCGGGUGAAGGAACUAGGCAAAAUGGCACCGUAACUUCGGGAGAAGGUGCGCCGGCUAGGGUGAAGGAUUUACUCCGUAAGCUCUGGCUGGUCGAAGAUACCAGGCCGCUGCGACUGUUUAUUAAAAACACAGCACUCUGCAAACACGAAAGUGGACGUAUAGGGUGUGACGCCUGCCCGGUGCCGGAAGGUUAAUUGAUGGGGUUAGCGCAAGCGAAGCUCUUGAUCGAAGCCCCGGUAAACGGCGGCCGUAACUAUAACGGUCCUAAGGUAGCGAAAUUCCUUGUCGGGUAAGUUCCGACCUGCACGAAUGGCGUAACGAUGGCGGCGCUGUCUCCACCCGAGACUCAGUGAAAUUGAAAUCGCUGUGAAGAUGCAGUGUAUCCGCGGCUAGACGGAAAGACCCCGUGAACCUUUACUGUAGCUUUGCACUGGACUUUGAGCCUGCUUGUGUAGGAUAGGUGGGAGGCUUUGAAGCGUGGACGCCAGUUCGCGUGGAGCCAUCCUUGAAAUACCACCCUGGCAUGCUUGAGGUUCUAACUCUGGUCCGUGAUCCGGAUCGAGGACAGUGUAUGGUGGGCAGUUUGACUGGGGCGGUCUCCUCCUAAAGAGUAACGGAGGAGUACGAAGGUGCGCUCAGACCGGUCGGAAAUCGGUCGCAGAGUAUAAAGGCAAAAGCGCGCUUGACUGCGAGACAGACACGUCGAGCAGGUACGAAAGUAGGUCUUAGUGAUCCGGUGGUUCUGUAUGGAAGGGCCAUCGCUCAACGGAUAAAAGGUACUCCGGGGAUAACAGGCUGAUACCGCCCAAGAGUUCAUAUCGACGGCGGUGUUUGGCACCUCGAUGUCGGCUCAUCACAUCCUGGGGCUGAAGCCGGUCCCAAGGGUAUGGCUGUUCGCCAUUUAAAGUGGUACGCGAGCUGGGUUUAGAACGUCGUGAGACAGUUCGGUCCCUAUCUGCCGUGGACGUUUGAGAUUUGAGAGGGGCUGCUCCUAGUACGAGAGGACCGGAGUGGACGAACCUCUGGUGUUCCGGUUGUCACGCCAGUGGCAUUGCCGGGUAGCUAUGUUCGGAAAAGAUAACCGCUGAAAGCAUCUAAGCGGGAAACUUGCCUCAAGAUGAGAUCUCACUGGGAACUUGAUUCCCCUGAAGGGCCGUCGAAGACUACGACGUUGAUAGGCUGGGUGUGUAAGCGUUGUGAGGCGUUGAGCUAACCAGUACUAAUUGCCCGUGAGGCUUGACC
rnacentral:rRNA from 1 species